UACGGGGGGGCAAGCGUUGUUCGGAAUUACUGGGCGUAAAGGGCUCGUAGGUGGCCAACUAAGUCAGACGUGAAAUCCCUCGGCUUAACCGGGGAACUGCGUCUGAUACUGGAUGGCUUGAGUUCGGGAGAGGGAUGCGGAAUUCCAGGUGUAGCGGUGAAAUGCGUAGAUAUCUGGAGGAACACCGGUGGCGAAGGCGGCAUCCUGGACCGACACUGACACUGAGGAGCAGAAAGCCAGGGGAGCAAACGGG
rnacentral:rRNA from 1 species